rnacentral:rRNA from 1 species
UACGUAGGGUCCAAGCGUUAUCCGGAAUCACUGGGCGUAAAGCGUCUGUAGGUGGCUUUUUAAGUCUGCCGUCAAAUCCCAGGGCUUAACCCUGGACAGGCGGUGGAAACUACCAAGCUGGAGUGCGGUAGGGGCAGAGGGAAUUUCCGGUGGAGCGGUGAAAUGCGUAGAGAUCGGAAAGAACACCAACGGCGAAAGCACUCUGCUGGGCCGACACUGACACUGAGAGACGAAAGCUAGGGGAGCGAAUGGG